rnacentral:rRNA from 1 species
GACGAACGCUGGCGGCGUGCCUAAUACAUGCAAGUUGAGCGAUGAAGAUUGGUGCUUGCACCAAUUUGAAGAGCAGCGAACGGGUGAGUAACGCGUGGGGAAUCUGCCUUUGAGCGGGGGACAACAUUUGGAAACGAAUGCUAAUACCGCAUAACAACUUUAAACAUAAGUUUUAAGUUUGAAAGAUGCAAUUGCAUCACUCAAAGAUGAUCCCGCGUUGUAUUAGCUAGUUGGUGAGGUAAAGGCUCACCAAGGCGAUGAUACAUAGCCGACCUGAGAGGGGGAUCGGCCACAUUGGGAAUGAGACACGGCCCAAACUCCUACGGGAGGCAGCAGUAGGGAAUCUUCGGCAAUGGACGAAAGUCUGACCGAGCAACGCCGCGUGAGUGAAGAAGGGUUUCGGAUCGUAAAACUCUGUUGGUAGAGAAGAACGUUGGUGAGAGUGGAAAGCUCAUCAAGUGACGGUAACUACCCAGAAAGGGACGGCUAACUACGUG